UCACUGGCCCUUUUCAGGGCCACAAAAUAACUAAAAAACGAAGGAAU
rfam:Habropoda laboriosa contig20015, whole genome shotgun sequence.